CUCCUGCAUGGGGCUUCCACAGAUUGGGCAACCCACGUGGUGACGUGAGUAAAGGAUGUAAGAAGGAAAACAAAUCAGCGAGAAGAUACUGCCCCUUACCCCCGCUUAAAGAGGAGACACAGAUGCCCUGUGAACACCUACCAGUUGGCUGACACCUGGGGCUCAGAUAAGUCCUCUCUGGCCCUAGUUUCAUUUCUUUGAAUGAAACAGCUCUAUGAGAGCUCUCUUCAGAGUUUAUAUGUUCUCGACACUGUUCCUAGCCAGUGGCAAUGAAUAAAUCAACCUAUACUAAUUGAAAAUUAGCUGUGGGCAAACCACAGUAUGAAACACUCCUGGGCACCAUGGAGGAUUCCAGAAAGGCUUGGUCCUUGCCUGUAAGAAACUAACAAUCGAAUAAUGAAAAUAAACAGAAACUCUUAACUCUUAA
rnacentral:lncRNA from 1 species